rnacentral:siRNA from 1 species
UAGCUUAAUGUGAUAUAUGCAUGC